UACGAAGGGGGCUAGCGUUGCUCGGAAUCACUGGGCGUAAAGCGCACGUAGGCGGCUUGUUAAGUCAGGGGUGAAAUCCUGGAGCUCAACUCCAGAACUGCCUUUGAUACUGGCGAGCUUGAGUCCGGGAGAGGUGAGUGGAACUGCGAGUGUAGAGGUGAAAUUCGUAGAUAUUCGCAAGAACACCAGUGGCGAAGGCGGCUCACUGGCCCGGUACUGACGCUGAGGUGCGAAAGCGUGGGGAGCGAACAGG
rnacentral:rRNA from 1 species